rnacentral:lncRNA from 1 species
CAGGACACAGUCCCUGUCCGCAUCAAAGGGGUCUACUUCAUAAACUGCCCACCUGUGACAGAGACCCUGUAUGGUCUUGUGAAAUCAUUUCUGUCGGAGAAGCUGCAGAAACGGCUACGUUUCAUUGGAAGUGAUUUGUCGGAACUUUGUGGAGACAUUCCUGCUGAACUGAUGCCACCAGAGUACGGAGGAAAACCGGAAACUUUCGACUUACAGAGACAAGAAAAUUUGUUCCUCGGGAAAGCGGAUCACUUCGAAAGAAUGCUGCGUUGUAGUUAUGAAGAAAAGUAAACAAAUUUUCAAAGCCUAGCUUGACGAAAGAUUGAACAUACAUAGGUACAUCCUAGUUU